GCUGGGCGUGGUGGCACAUGCCUGUAAUCCCAUCAGCUUGGGAAGUGGAGGCAGGAUGAUGGCAAGUUCAAAGCCAGCCUCAGCAAAAGUGAGGCACUAAGCAACUCAGUGAGACCCUGUCUCUA
rnacentral:sRNA from 1 species